UCCACGCCGUAAACGAUGAUUACUCGAUGUAUGCGAUACACAGUAUGCGUCUGAACGAAAGUAUUAAGUAAUCCACCUGGGGAGUACGUCGGCAACGAUGAAACUCAAAGGAAUUGACGGGGGCCCGCACAAGCGGAGGAACAUGUGGUUUAAUUCGAUGAUACGCGAGGAACCUUACCUGGGCUUAAAUGCAGAAUGCAUUUACUCGAAAGAGUAAUUCCCUUCGGGGCUAUUUGCAAGGUGCUGCAUGGUUGUCGUCAGCUCGUGCCGUGAGGUGUCGGGUUAAGUCCCAUAACGAGCGCAACCCUUAUCGUUAGUUACCAGCUGGUAAAGCAGGGGACUCUAACGAAACUGCCAGUGUAAACUGAGAGGA
rnacentral:rRNA from 1 species